CCUACGUGCGGCUGCAGUAGGGAAUCUUCCACAAUGGGCGAAAGCCUGAUGGAGCAACGCCGCGUGGGUGAAGAAGGUCUUCGGAUCGUAAAACCCUGUUGUUAGAGAAGAAAGUGCGUGAGAGUAACUGUUCACGUUUCGACGGUAUCUAACCAGAAAGCCACGGCUAACUACGUGCCAGCAGCCGCGGUAAUACGUAGGUGGCAAGCGCUAUCCGGAUUUAUUAGGCGUAAAGGGAACGCAGGCGGGCUUUUAAGUCUGAUGUGAAAGCCUUCGGCUUAACCGGAGUAGUGCAUUGGAAACUGGGAGAAUUGAGUGCAGAAGAGGAGAGUGGAACUCCAUGUGUAGCGGUGAAAUGCGUAGAUAUAUGGAAGAACACCAGUGGCGAAAGCGGCUCUCUGGUCUGUAACGGACGCUGAGGUUCGAAAGCGUGGGUAGCAAACAGGAUUAGAUACCCUUGUAGUC
rnacentral:rRNA from 1 species